rnacentral:rRNA from 1 species
UUGACAACUCUAGAGAUAGAGUCUUCCCCUUCGGGGGACAAAGUGACAGGUGGUGCAUGGUUGUCGUCAGCUCGUGUCGUGAGAUGUUGGGUUAAGUCCCGCAACGAGCGCAACCCUUAAGCUUAGUUGCCAGCAUUAAGUUGGGCACUCUAAGUUGACUGCCGGUGACAAACCGGAGGAAGGUGGGGAUGACGUCAAAUCAUCAUGCCCCUUAUGAUUUGGGCUACACACGUGCUACGAUGGACAAUACAAAGGGCAGCUAAACCGCGAGGUCAUGCAAAUCCCAUAAAGUUGUUCUCAGUUCGGAUUGUAGUCUGCAACUCGACUACAUGAAGCUGGAAUCGCUAGUAAUCGUAGAUCAGCAUGCUACGGUGAAUACGUUCCCGGGUCUUGUACACACCGCCCGUCACACCACGAGAGUCUGUAACACCCGAAGCCGGUGGAGUAACCAUUUAUGGAGCUAGCCGUCGAAGGUGGGACAAAUGAUUGGGGUGAAGUCGUAACAAGGUAGCCGUAUCGGAA